rnacentral:rRNA from 1 species
AGAGUUGAUCAUGGCUACAGGACGACGCUGGCGGCGUGCUUAACACAUGCAAGUCGAACGAGGAUAUGUCAGAGGAGAGCUUCGGCAGGAAUCGGGCAUAUUCGAGUGGCGGACGGGUGAGUAACGCGUGAGCAACCUGUCCCAGACAGGGGGAUAACACUUGGAAACAGGUGCUAAUACCGCAUAAGACCACGGUAUCACAUGGUAUUGGGGGUAAAAGGAGCAAUCCGGUUUGGGGUGGGCUCGCGUCCGAUUUAGAUAGUUGGUGAGGUAACGGCCCACCAAGUCGACGAUCGGUAGCCGACCUGAGAGGGUGAUCGGCCACAUUGGAACUGAGAGACGGUCCAAACUCCUACGGGGAGGCAGCAGUGGGGAAUAUUGGGCAAUGGGCGAAAGCCUGAACCCCCAGCAACGCCGCGUGAGUGAAGAAGGCCUUCGGGUUGUAAAGCUCUGUUAUAGUUGACGAAGGAAGUGACGGUAGGCUAUAAGGAAGCCCCGGCUAACUACGUGCCAGCCGCAGC